GACGAACGCUGGCGGCGUGCUUAACACAUGCAAGUCGAACGGAAAGGCCCCUUUGGGGGUACUCGAGUGGCGAACGGGUGAGUAACACGUGAGUAACCUUCCCUUGACUUCGGGAUAACUUCAGGAAACUGGGGCUAAUACCGGAUAGGAAUCCUUGCUUCAUGGUGGGGGUUGGAAAGCUUCGGCGGUUUUGGAUGGACUCGCGGCUUAUCAGCUUGUUGGUGGGGUAGUGGCUUACCAAGGCUUUGACGGGUAGCCGGCCUGAGAGGGCGACCGGCCACAUUGGGACUGAGAUACGGCCCAGACUCCUACGGGAGGCAGCAGGGGGGAAUAUUGGACAAUGGGCGGAAGCCUGAGGCAGCAACGCCGCGUGCGGGAUGAAGGCCUUCGGGUUGUAAACCGCUUUCAGCAGGGGCGAAGCUUGUGGUGACGGUACCUGCAGAAGAAGCGCCGGCUAACUACGUGC
rnacentral:rRNA from 1 species